rnacentral:rRNA from 1 species
CGGACGGGUGAGUAACACGUGGAUAACCUACCUAUAAGACUGGGAUAACUUCGGGAAACCGGAGCUAAUACCGGAUAAUAUAUUGAACCGCAUGGUUCAAUAGUGAAAGACGGUUUUGCUGUCACUUAUAGAUGGAUCCGCGCCGCAUUAGCUAGUUGGUAAGGUAACGGCUUACCAAGGCGACGAUGCGUAGCCGACCUGAGAGGGUGAUCGGCCACACUGGAACUGAUACACGGUCCAG